ACAAUAACAAGAAAAUAAUAAUAAUAAUAAUAAUAAUAAUAAUAAUCUGAAGACGACAUGUUGCCCCUCCUCUUUGAACCCGGGCUUGGGACCGGCUGUGUCGAAAAGACAUAAACGACACAGGCAGAGUUGUCAGGUGUCAUUUUAAGCUCUUCAAAAGUAAUGGAAGGCCUUAAAAUGACAAUAAUCUUCAAUUGAUUAUAUUUUUAAUUUUGGAUGGGCUCUCCACUGAUCAUCUGAAGAGCGAGAGCAAGAAGGCCGCCAUUGACAGACCAAACACCGACCAAAUUAUCCAGCAUAAACUCCCCGGAAGGAAGGAGAUCGCCAUUAGGUAGAACAUCAUUGAGGAAUUGAGAAGGCGGAAUCUGUGGAGAGACGAGCAAUCCUACGGCCGCCUGAAAAGUGAGACUCAAAUUCCUCUCCCCGACGCUCCUGGAAUUGGAUAGCUCUGGAAUUCAUUAACGACGUACAAUGGAAGUGUGCGAUGCUGCAGUGCGUCGAAUCUCCUUCGAUUGAGCGCCAUUGCGUGAAUAAAUCUGAUCGGGAUAAAGCUUGUUUCAUGACAUUACGAAAGGAAAAUGGAGGAGGAUCUGGAGGACGAGGAGGUGAAUUGGAAGCCAUGGCUGUGUUCCUCUAUCCUAUCAGUGCAAAUUCCCAGAAGCUUCAAAGAUCAACAGCCAUGCUUUAUGAAGUUUCCUUGAAGAUUCUCGUAUGGACUUUUUUUUUUUCUUGGAUCAAGUCUAGAUAAGAAGCUUCCCAGCAGAAGCAGCUUAGAAUGAACUCUUCAACAACUAUAAAUACGUCUAAACAACACAGAUGCGCAAUGAGGUUCCCUCAUAUUGUCCAGCAAUGAAGAACGCUGGAGCUAUCAAUAUGAGUCCAGAGACUUCUUUUCCCCAGCAUUUUCACAUCCUUGGUAAGGCAUGUUCAAGAUUGGACAUUUCAACCAAUCUGAUGUACUGUAUAUUGUGCUGCUCCUUCAAAACAGUGACCCUCAUUCUCUUGUUUCCUUAUGAGCAAGUGAAUGGGAAUCCUGUGCCUACUGUAAUCUUCAAAGGCCUUCCAUCAACUUUCCAUGCCUUUCUACUUUCAACUGUGAUGGCAUUCUCAGGCGCAUUUAACGCCUUGAUGUUUUCUGCUAAUAAGCCAAAAAUUGCCAGGUUUUGCAGCUACUAUUCUAUGGCAUUUAUGGCCUCAGCUGUAGUUUUAUUGAUUUGGGCUGUGUAUCAGACGGUUUUUAACCGGAGACAAUGGCAGGAUUAAGACAUAUUUAGAUGUUUCCCCUACUUAUCAGUUUCAAGGGGGAGCAUUUCAGACGUUUCCUGUAAUAAUAGAGUUCAUACAAUCUGAGACUUGUACAAGUCUGCCAAAAAUGCAUUAAUCAAAAGGAACCUUUCGAAUAUUUCAAGCGGAUUUUCCAGUCCUAGACUCCUUGUGUAUGUCAAGAAAGCAAAAAGAAAGUUGUCAAAAGAAUGGAAAUUCCAUUUUCUAGUCAGGCUGAAGAAUCCCAAUCCUUGAGAAGAUUUUUUCUACAAGUUGGAUAAUUACUUUCCACCUUAAACUAUGAGUUAAUUGUUUGCUUCAAUUUUUCUGCUCCAGCACUUUAUCCU